UACGUAGGUGGCGAGCGUUGUCCGGAUUUACUGGGCGUAAAGGGAGCGUAGGCGGACUUUUAAGUGAGAUGUGAAAUACCCGGGCUCAACUUGGGUGCUGCAUUUCAAACUGGAAGUCUAGAGUGCAGGAGAGGAGAAUGGAAUUACUAGUGUAGCGGUGAAAUGCGUAGAAAUUAGGAAGAACACCAGUGGCGAAGGCGAUUCUCUGGACUGUAACUGACGCUGAGGCUCGAAAGCGUGGGGAGCAAACAGGAUUAGAUACCCGGGUAGU
rnacentral:rRNA from 1 species